GGCUCGAUGGCGGACGGCCCGCACCUGCGUGUCGUACGAGUGGCAUAUUCUAUCGCAGGCGACGCCCGUUCGACUCGGGCUCGAGCCA